rnacentral:rRNA from 1 species
UGGGGAAUAUUGGACAAUGGGCGGAAGCCUGAUCCAGCAACGCCGCGUGAGGGAUGACGGCCUUCGGGUUGUAAACCUCUUUCAGCACAGACGAAGCGCAAGUGACGGUAUGUGCAGAAGAAGGACCGGCCAACUACGUGCCAGCAGCCGCGGUAAUACGUAGGGUCCGAGCGUUGUCCGGAAUUAUUGGGCGUAAAGGGCUCGUAGGCGGUUUGUCGCGUCGGGAGUGAAAACACCGGGCUUAACUCGGUGCUUGCUUUCGAUACGGGCAGACUAGAGGCAUUCAGGGGAGAACGGAAUUCCUGGUGUAGCGGUGAAAUGCGCAGAUAUCAGGAGGAACACCGGUGGCGAAGGCGGUUCUCUGGGAAUGUCCUGACGCUGAGGAGCGAAAAGUGUGGGGAGCGAACAGGAUUAGAUACCCUGGUAGUCCACACCGUAAAACGUUGGGCGCUAGGUGUGGGAUCCAUUCCACGGGUUCCGUGCCGCAGCUAACGCAUUAAGCGCCCCGCCUGGGGAGUACGGCCGCAAGGCUAAAACUCAAAUGAAUUGACGGGGUCAUAGCUGUUUCCU